ensembl:lncRNA novel transcript
GUAGUGAUUUUAUGCUAGUUUCAUUCCCUUUAAAUACAAAAUUUGCUUUUUUAUCUGAAAAAUGUUCUCAGGCCCAUGUGAUUUUUACAUACAACAAUUUAAAAUUCUUUCAUAGCUCCUCAUUGUAAACCUCAUAGGAAACCUAUACUCUGUAUCAAACGUAAAUGGCAUUCCAUUAGCUGGCCUCUGUCCACUUCUUCAUAUACACUGUGCCUGUGCUACUAACCCAUCACACCCAAGUUCCUUUGUACAGUUCUUUAAAUGCACCGUUCUCCUACAAACCUCUCAUUUGUCUCUGAGGUUGGACUUUACUCCUUCUUCCCCUGGCCUUUCCCUAUUCAUAUACUUAAAUUUAAAUUAUCAAAAUCUCUUGACUAAUUAAUAUUUCCACCAUAAUAUUAAGUGUGUGAACAUUGAGAUGUUAUUACAAGAUUACUGUUGGUGCGAUUGUUUUGAAGGAAAGUUUUCCCAAAGCCAAACUCCCCAAAGGGACUUAAAUCAGGGUUCAACAAAGAGUAAGUGAUAUUAAAUAUUUAAUCUUAAUAUAUAUACAUAUAUGUGUAUAUAUAUGUGUGUGUGUAUAUAUAUAUGUGUAUAUAUAUAUGUGUGUGUAUACAUAUAUAUAUGAGACUGACAUUUUAUAGUUUGAAUUGAAAAUAUUUUACAUGGAUUUAAAGUUGCCAAUGAGGUGAUUAUCUGGAACCCAUUUUCAAAUCCUCUUUUUUUUGUGAAAUGAUUUGAGACACAGAAAAAUACCCCAUAGCUUUCCUUCACAGUGCCUGCCUCUGCCAAGUCUCUCCUGACCCCCAUAGACAGACUUAGCUGCCACACUCCUGUUGCUUUCCUUUGUAAUUGCUUAUAUGUUUGCUGUCUUUCUAACUUCUGCAAGCCUAAUCUCUUCCUCUCAGUUAUCUUGUUGUGUAAUAGUGCCUGGGAUGCAGCAAGCAACCAAGACAUUGCUUAUUAAAGGAAUCAUUGCAGGAUUUAAUAUAUACUACAUAGACACACUUGGUAGUAUCUGAGUUUGAUUUUUGUUGAUUGAGUAACUUAUCCUUACGUAGAGAUGCUGAAUAUCAGCUGUUAGAGAAUAGUCUGGCAAAUGGAACACGAUUGUGAUUGUGAUUUGAUGGGCAAAUGUCGUGUUAAUCUUUUUGUUUUCUGGCUGAUAGUUAAAUCUCUAGUACUGUACAUCAAAAGUGUCACAGCUAAGCAAUCUGAGGGAUUAAAUGACUCCUCAUAAUUUCUGUGUUGUUAAAUAGCAGAAGGAUAUUAUCUAAUCACUGUUGUCAGUGUAUGCUGGUGAACUCUUAUGGAAAACAUUUUCUUUUCUACUUUGAAAGCAUUAGGAAACACACUCAAAUUACAUUUUAAAAUGUUGUUUUCUGGAGUACACAAACAAUCUAUUUCAGUGCUAUUUCACUGUCAGUCAUUUCAAGUAUUUUACUAUAAACGCCCCAGUAGUGGUCACCUUUUAUAUUCAGGGCUUGUGUGUGUGUGUGAAUUGCUUCUGUGAUAACUCUUACAAAAUUAAUUUUUGAAUUAUUUGCUGUUUUGUCAUGACAGCUACAUAUGUAUGUUGUCGUUAUGUCUGAACACUAAUAGAUGCUUAAGAUUUUGUUGGCUUAAUUAUUUCUGAUAGCAUUUCUAAUGAUACUAUGUAAAACUCAUAUAACCCUCUACAUUUUACCUCUGGCUAAACAUUAGGCCUCCUUUUCUUGUCUCGUGUUUCCCAUUAAGUUUUCAAAAGCUAAAAAGGCCCAUUUUCUCUUUUAAAUGACUCAUUAUUGGAAACAGUUUCAAAGAGAACUGUGUAGCAGUUAAGAAAGGAAAGGUAUGAGAUAUCUCUUACUGUCUCUUACAGGUUUAUUCAGCAAGAAUACUUGACUUUCUGUCUCUUACAGGUUUACUCAGAAAGAAUACUUGAAAAUAGAUUACACAUAAUUACUUCACAAGGAGCUUUUUAAAAUCCAAUUACAAGAUUUCUAAUUUAAGUGAAAAAAUGGGAAAAAAAUAAGCUCCAGUCUCACUUAAAUCCAUUGUGCUAUUUUGCAGAAUAUCAAGUCCAUCUUGGGAGUUUAACUGUGGGAGGACUUUGUAAUAGCACUGUCUCCCUAUAACAGGAUUCCACAGAUAGCAUUAUGAUGAGACUCCUGUAUGUGUUCAUUUAAUUUCAGGGGUUGCUGCACUAAACAAUAAACCAAAUUUGAGAGCCUGAAUCCGGAUGUAUCUUGUCAGUUUCUUUCCCAGUCAGUUCAAUCAAAUGUCAUUCUAUUCAAUUGAAUAUACACAGGGUGAAUUUCAAGUAAGAGAAAAUUUAACUUGAGUGACAGAUUUUCUCUAAAAGUUGCUUUUGUUUGAUUUCAUCUUUUUUUCCUUUCUUUACUGUGAAACCACACAAUGAAAUGGAAAUCAGGAUGUCGAUUCUGUUGCUGCUGCAGCUUUCUGCUUCUGACUUAGGCUUUUGCAUGAGUAAAAGUAGUUGCUUCAUAUAUUCCUCAUGUGGAUGUGCAGGAUGUGCCCUGUACAAAAAUCCAGGAAGCACUGUUUACAGAGACCAUUAUGUGCAUGACUACAACUAGAGUUUUAUGUUGCCCAUCUUGGAUGACUGUAAACAGAAGACCGCUGAGCUUCCUCAAUUUGAAAGAGGUAUUUUCUUCCUGCUUUCUUUCAAAGGAAUGCAAAGAAUGAGAAUGACAGAAGUUUUGAUUUGUGAUUUAGGCACUAUCUGAAGGCACUUUAGGGAAUGUGAGCCCUGAACUGAUACAUUGUGACCCUAGGUACAGAAAUUACUUAAAUUCUCUGGGCCUUAGUUUUCUGAUCUGUGAAAUAUAAAUAAUAAUAUCUGUUCUAUUGAUGCAGGAUUUUUUGCUCCUCAGCUCAGCUAAAUCUGGGUUCUUGUCUCACAACGAGGAAAAAUUACGCACAUGGACACACUAAAAGGAGAUGUUUCUUUUGUGUAUCUUGCUGUUUUGGUAGUCACCUGUUUGCAGUGGCACCAUUGAAUCUAUCUUCAAGAAGCUGAGAAAGCAGAAACCUGGGAAUUAAUGGAUUCAGUAUUAUAAAUCAACUUGGAUGGAGCUGGAGACCAUUAUUCUAAGUGAAGUAACUCAGAAAUAGAAAACCAAACACCAUAUGUUCUCACUUUUAAGUGGGAGCUAAGCUAUGGGUAUGCGAAGGCAUACAGAACGGUAUAAUGGACACUGGAGAGUCAAAAGCAGCCGACUUGGAGGGGAUGAGGAAUAAUAUUGGGUAUGAUGCACACUGUUCAGAUCAGGAAAUCCUGAGAGUUGUCAUGAAACCCUCUGCCACAUUUCCAAUAUUUUAUUAGUAGGGAAAUAGUGAAAAUGAAUGGAUCUGACAGACACAAGCAAUUGAGAGUAUGGCCUAAAGAAAAAAAAUCCACUGAACAUCAUGCAAUUAGAAGUGCCAUUAGGAAAGGGGUCAAUGGAUUGGCUGGAGAAAGCUGGAAGCUUGAAAUGACUGUCUACAAGGUGAUCAAGAACACAGCACCUGGAUGAAGGGAGGAGCAAGAGGAAAGGUGGUGACAGUAAGCAAGGAGAGCAAACCUUCAGAGGGCUAAGGGGAAGCCCUUCACCCCUACAGUUUUGGCACUGUGAACAGGAUCUCAUCAAAGCUGCUCUGCUUUUCAGGGAGCCACAGUGAAAGAAACCCAGGACCUGACAAGCCAACAGAAAGGUAAGAAUUUUUACCAGCCAGGCUCCUGGUCUCUCUUCCUGUGGAAUUUGACUGAGCUGACGCUAAAAACCCACUAUUUGUCUCUCUUUUUCUCUGCAAAGUUCUGAUUAAUAGGAGAAAAAAAUUUGUGUGAGUAGUCUUGGGUAUAGCAAUGCUGGUAUAUUUUAUGGUAUAAAUAUUCAUAUUGUUUGAUUCCUAUCAUACCCAAAACAGACUAUGUUGGUUAAUACUGAGUGUCAACUUAAUUGGAUUGAAGGAUGAAAAGGGUUGUUCCUGGGUGUAUCUGUGAGGGUAUUGCCAAAAGAGAUUAACAUUUGAGUCACUGAAUUGGGAAAUGCAGAACCACCCUCAAUCUGGAUAGGCACAAUCUAAUCAGUUGCCAGUGCAGCUAGAAUAAAAGCAGGCAAAGAAAUGUGGAAAGACUAGACUGGCUUAGUCUUUUGGCCUACAUCUUUCCCCCAUGCUGGAUACUUCCUGCCCUCAAAAAUUGGACUCCAAGUUCUUCAGCUUUUCGGCUCUUGAACCUUCAACCACAGACUGAAGGCUGCACUGUUGGCUUCCCUAUUUUUGAGAUUUUGGGACUCGGACUGUAUUCCUUGCUCCUCAGCUUGCAGAGGGCCUUUUGUGGGUCCUCACCUUGUGAUUGUGUGAGUCAAUACUCCUUAAUAAACUCUCCUUUAUGUAUACAUGUAUCCUAUUAGUUCUGUUCCUCUAGAGAACCUUGACUAA